UUCCCUCUCUCAUACUCAUUAUCUUAAACCUAGGUCAUUGGGCUCAUGGUAAAAAAAGGGUAAUGAACCUUUGCAAAUGGGUAAAUUAUUAUCCAUAUCCCUUCUUAUGAAUUUGUCCUGAUUAUUAGCCAAUGGUGACUCCUUUUCUCUGACUUUAUGGCUUAAUAUCUAAAUAUCAUGGUAAAGUUAUAGGAAAACAAUACUAAACUAGCUAAAAUAAGUAUAACCAAAUCGAGACACCUGAUAAACGAGAGCUUGUGACGAGCACAGUCGUCAAAGUUGUGCAACUACCAGAGGGUUCCCAAGCCCUCUGUAGUUGUAGCUCAUUAUUUUUCAAGUUCCUAGAUGACCCUGGAUAUCACCACUGGUCGCCUCUGAGAUAGUAAAAGGCAUAACAACCAAAGAAGUCCUUUUUCCACUAUGCAAAUUCUCCAAAACCAUAUCUGACAUCUCAUCAUUGGCUCUUUUCCGAACAUUCUGCAAGUUAACACCAUCCGAAGAUUGCCCUUUUUCACGUGUUCUCCUGCGCCAAGUGCCUUUUUUCUUAGCAUGCACAGUCGAAACCACAGACCCUUCCACAACCUCUAACCCACAUGCAUCCUCACAAAACAUGGAGUUCUCGUUCGAACCAUCCGUAGUCACCACAGCACAACCAAUAUCCCUACCCAUCCCAUUAGUAGUACCGUCAGCAUGUUCACUACCAACAUUUAAUUCAUUCAGAAGCUGGACCAACGGUGUCUUACAAGAAGAUGUUCUAUUGUUCUCCUGUCCGGCAUCCACCCGAUCCCUCGCCUUCUCCCCCAUCUCACCAUUAAAGCCGUUACCCGUCCGCUCGAAUAAUUCAAUCGCCAGCCUUGUUUCCUUCUCUUUUUCUGCAUGGUUUCGAAGCUGAAAGAUUUUCCUUGGCAUAGCACGUAGCCAUUCACCAUACUGAAGCACUUCUUCCCCAUUAAAACUAUUACACUCAUGUUGCACAUGACCCAUGUAGCCACAAGAAAAACAGAAAUGUGGCAAGCGUUCAUACCGAAGCUGAAUCCAUCUAACUGUUCCCACCAUUAGCUUAAGUAAAACUCCCCUCCGUAAUGGCUUGUCAAUAGGUAUGGCAACCUUAAACCUCAAGGCAUUCGACCACCCAAUCACAUCAUCUUCAUCAAAGGAGAUAAAACGACCAAUCAUAUUAGCAAUUAACUUAGCCGUAGACUUAGAAAAACAACUAAACGGGACCCCAUAUGCCCUCACCCAAAAAGAGCAUUCUUGGAAUGUGAUAGAGUUAGCAGUAUCAGACUCUACCAUCUCUCUUAACACAACUAACUGGCCAUCGAAACACCAAGGGCCGCCUUCCAAGACAUGUUUUUUAUCAUCCUCCAAAAAGAACUGAAACACAAAUAAGUUAUCAGAUAAUUGCCGAAAACCAAACCCCUUUCGUAAGCGCCAACUCCUUAACAUAGUUAAGCGUAGAGCUGGAGCAUUAAAAUUCUUCCCAGUAAGCACCAUACCUAUCAAACAUAAUGAAAUUUUCAAACGUUGUAAGGAGUUCUCCUCGUCAACAAAAGGCACCUCACCCACAAUUGUCUCCUCCUCAGUCAAUCGCAAUGAGGAAAUCAACUCAUCAACUGAAUCAGCAGCCAUGAAGGACAAGUACACUUGCAGAACAGCAGAAAAUUAAUGGGUCUAAGAAAAAGGCAAAUAACCCUAGCCCUCGAGACUAGAGAGACAAGACUCGAAGAAGAGAGAGUCUGCCUAUGGAGAGGAGAGUAG
rnacentral:misc_RNA from 1 species